CUCAGCAUGGCAUAGUGGUUUGAGUGUUAGAUUAUGACUCUGGAGACUUAGGGUUCGAUUCCCAGUUUGGCCG